UACGUAGGGACCAAGCGUUGUUCGGAUUUACUGGGCGUAAAGGGCGCGUAGGCGGCGUGGUAAGUCACUUGUGAAAUCUCUGAGCUUAACUCAGAACGGCCAAGUGAUACUGCAGUGCUAGAGUGCAGAAAGGGCAAUCGGAAUUCUUGGUGUAGCGGUGAAAUGCGUAGAUAUCAAGAGGAACACCUGAGGCGAAGGCGGGUUGCUAGGCUGACACUGACGCUGAGGCGCGAAAGCCAGGGGAGCAAACGGG
rnacentral:rRNA from 1 species